rnacentral:rRNA from 1 species
UACGAAGGGGGCUAGCGUUGUUCGGAAUUACUGGGCGUAAAGCGUGCGCAGGCGGCUGCUCAAGUCAGGGGUGAAAGCCCAGAGCUCAACUCUGGAAUUGCCUUUGAGACUGAGUGGCUUGAGUACGGGAGAGGUGAGUGGAAUUCCCAGUGUAGAGGUGAAAUUCGUAGAUAUUCGGAAGAACACCAGUGGCGAAGGCGACUCACUGGACACGUAUUGACGCUGAGGUGCGAAAGCGUGGGGAGCAAACAGG